ensembl:rRNA 5S_rRNA 5S ribosomal RNA
GUCUACAGCCAUGCUACCCUGAACAAGCCCAAUCCCAUCUGAUCUCAGAAGCUACACAGGAUCGGGCCUGGUUAGUACUUGGAUGUGAAACAACCUAGGAAGACCAGGUGUUGUAGGUG